rnacentral:rRNA from 1 species
UACGUAGGUGGCGAGCGUUGUCCGGAUUUACUGGGCGUAAAAGGGGCGUAGGCGGACUUUUUAAGUGAGAUGUGAAAUACCCGGGCUCAACUUGGGUGCUGCAUUUCAAACUGGAAGUCUAGAGUGCAGGAGAUGAGAAUGGAAUUCCUAGUGUAGCGGUGAAAUGCGUAGAGAUUAGGAAGAACACCAGUGGCGAAGGCGAUUCUCUGGACUGUAACUGACGCUGAGGCUCGAAAGCGUGGGGAGCAAACAGGAUUAGAUACCCCGGUA